ACGAACGCUGGCGGCGUGCUUAACACAUGCAAGUCGAACGAUGAAGCGCCAGCUUGCUGGUGUGGAUUAGUGGCGAACGGGUGAGUAACACGUGAGUAACCUGCCCCCUACUCUGGGAUAAGCCUGGGAAACUGGGUCUAAUACUGGAUAUGACUAAUCACUGCAUGGUGUGUUGGUGGAAAGAUUUUUUGGUGGGGGAUGGACUCGCGGCCUACCAGCUUGUUGGUGGGGUAAUGGCCUACCAAGGCGACGACGGGUAGCCGGCCUGAGAGGGCGACCGGCCACACUGGGACUGAGACACGGCCCAGACUCCUACGGGAGGCAGCAGUGGGGAAUAUUGCACAAUGGGCGAAAGCCUGAUGCAGCGACGCCGCGUGAGGGAUGACGGCCUUCGGGUUGUAAACCGCUUUCACCAGGGACGAAGCUAACGUGACGGUACCGGGAGAAGAAGCACCGGCUAACUACGU
rnacentral:rRNA from 1 species